UACGUAGGGUGCGAGCGUUGUCCGGAAUUAUUGGGCGUAAAGAGCUCGUAGGCGGUCUGUCGCGUCGGAUGUGAAAGCCCGGGGCUUAACUCCGGGUCUGCAUUCGAUACGGGCAGACUAGAGUGUGGUAGGGGAGAUCGGAAUUCCUGGUGUAGCGGUGAAAUGCGCAGAUAUCAGGAGGAACACCGGUGGCGAAGGCGGAUCUCUGGGCCAUUACUGACGCUGAGGAGCGAAGGCUAGGGGAGCGAACGGG
rnacentral:rRNA from 1 species